AUUGAACGCUGGCGGCAUGCCUUACACAUGCAAGUCGAACGGCAGCACGGGAGCAAUCCUGGUGGCGAGUGGCGAACGGGUGAGUAAUAUAUCGGAACGUGCCCAGUCGUGGGGGAUAACGUAGCGAAAGCUACGCUAAUACCGCAUACGAUCUAUGGAUGAAAGCGGGGGAUCGCAAGACCUCGCGCGAUUGGAGCGGCCGAUAUCAGAUUAGGUAGUUGGUGAGGUAAAGGCUCACCAAGCCGACGAUCUGUAGCUGGUCUGAGAGGACGACCAGCCACACUGGGACUGAGACACGGCCCAGACUCCUACGGGAGGCAGCAGUGGGAAUUUUGGACAAUGGGCGCAAGCCUGAUCCAGCAAUGCCGCGUGCAGGAUGAAGGCCUUCGGGUUGUAAACUGCUUUGUACGGAACGAAACGGUGAGCUCUAAUACAGUUUGCUAAUGACGGUACCGUAAGAAUAAGCACCGGCUAACUUCGUG
rnacentral:rRNA from 1 species